AUUGAACGCUGGCGGCAUGCCUAACACAUGCAAGUCGAGCGGAGCUGCGGACGGGUGUGUAAUGCCUAGGAAUCUGCCUGGUAGUGGGGGAUAACGUCCGGAAACGGGCGCUAAUACCGCAUACUAUCAGAUGAGCCUAGGUGGGAUUGGCUAGUUGUUGGGGUAAAGGCCUACCAAGGCGACGAUCCGUAACUGGUCUGAGAGGAUGAUCAGUCAAACUGGAACUGGGACACGGUCAAGAAUCUUACGGGGGGAAGCAGUGGGGAAUAUUGGACAAGGGGCGAAAGCUUGAUCAAGCCAUGCCGCGUGUGUGAAGAAGGUCUUCGGAUUGUAAAGCACUUUAAGUUGGGAGGCGUUACCCGCAGAAGAAGCACCGGCUAACUCCGUGCCAGCAGCCGCGGUAAUUC
rnacentral:rRNA from 1 species